AUUGAACGCUGGCGGCAUGCUUUACACAUGCAAGUCGAACGGUAACAGGCCGCAAGGUGCUGACGAGUGGCGAACGGGUGAGUAAUGCAUCGGAACGUGCCCAGUCGUGGGGGAUAACGCAGCGAAAGCUGUGCGAAUACCGCAUACGAUCUAUGGAUGAAAGCGGGGGACCUUAAGGCCUUGCGCGAUUGGAGCGGCGGAUGACAGAUUAGGUAGUUGGUGGGGUAAAGGCUCCCCAAACCAACGAUCUGUAGCUGGUCUGAGAGGACGACCAGCCAAACUGGGACUGAGACACGGCCCAUACGCCUACGGGAGGCAGCAGUGGGGAAUUUUGGACAAUGGGCGCAAGCCUGAUCCAGCAAUGCCGCGUGCAGGAAGAAGGCCUUCGGGUUGUAAACUGCUUUUGUACGGAACGAAACGGCGAGCUCUAAUACAGUUUGCUAAUGACGGUACCGUAAGAAUAAGCACCGGCUAACUACGUGCCAGCAGCCGCCGUAA
rnacentral:rRNA from 1 species